UGCUGAAUGCCGCCAGCCACGGGGUCAA
rnacentral:piRNA from 1 species